CUGUGGCCACUCUCAGUAAUCUUUGAUAGCAUCCCUGCUUUCAGGCAUAACAAAUGUCCCAGGCACAUCCUGUGCAUUUCUUAUUCCAGACCUGAAAUCAGGCAUUUCUCCAACGAAUGUUCAUUCUUUUUCCUGGAACAUGAUAUUGAGAGACUCAGCAAUAUCUGUUAACUUCCUGUUACAUAGAUGAGGAGUUUGCUCUCUUGUGUCAUUCUCUGGCCUUAAUAGCUGUAUUCUAACUUUGGGUUAAGGCAGUAUUAAUGGAUGACAUUAUUAUGACCACGUAAUAUAAUUCAUUGAAUACCCUCAAGUAAACUUCUAAGAAAACUACAGAUUUGGAGCUUCAAAUGCCUUGGUGAAGUUUCUAAGAACUUGGAUGUCUAAAAAGAACAGGGCAGGAAAUUAUCCAACUUGCAAGAGAAUGCUAGCUGAAAAUCGUCCCAUCUUAUGGAAAACCGGUAGAAAAUCCAGGAGGUGAAAUGGAGAACAUGUUCAACUGGAGAAUUCUAUUUCUUAUGCAUGUCAAAUAUGUUUCCUUCUCCUGCACUAGCUGUUCCUUCUGCUGGAAGAAUAUUUAUAUGACUGGCUAAACUUACUGUUCAGAUCUGAGAGUAAAUUUGCAUUUCUCAGAGAGUUAGUUCCUGACCACCCAACUCAAAGUACUAACACUCUAUCUAGUCCUUUUCUUGUUUGUUUUUCAUGUUUAUUUUAUUUCCCACCACUAGAAUCUAAGCUUUUUGAGAGCCGGCACUUUGUCCAUCUGGGUCACUGAAUCCCAAUGAGUUAUUCACAGAUGUUUUUAGUACAUAGUAGGUGAAAUGCAUAGAUAAUAUUUCAACUAAGAAAGUGAACAGAAGAAAGUUGGUCAUUGACUUAUUACUAGUAGCUCACUACUCUCUAUGUAUGAAGACAUCACUUACUGAUGGUUAUGAAGCAGAUGCUCAAUAAUUUUUUUUUAAUAAACAGGAGGGCAAGGAGCCAAUGUCGUUUGUAGUGGAGGGUAGUCAUGGACACUGAGAGUAUGUUUUAGACACAAUUUAUCAAUGGCCAGCCUCAGGCUGAGAUAAAAUAUAACAGAGUUUGCCAAGGUCUUUCAUGCCCAGGCAGUCAGUGCUCACAUGUUCCCUGUAACUGCCUGGGUACCUUUCCCUGAGUCAUCAGUCCUGUGUCUUAAUUCUUUUAGUAGCACCUGCAUUCUGCUCCUUUAACCUUCCAUCAAUCAGCUCUUAUAUACUGUACAUCUCUUUCUCAAGAAGCCUUGUGCAACGCAUGGUGAUUUCAACAGUGAUGAAUAUUUCCUUCCCUCUGACUUCUUAUGAAACCAGGAUAAUGAAGCAAAUUAGAAUGUAUUUUAACAUCACUCUCCCUUGUUUGCUGUCCAGCUAAUGAACAGUGGACUGGCUGAAGAAAGACCAGCAUGAAGCAGAAAAAUUGUUUGGUGAAAAAUUCAAGAAUGGGCCAAUAUCCAUUAAAAGAUUGAAAGAGGAGAUGUUUUGGGUCCACCUCCACUGGGGACAGAAAUUCCAUUCUGCCAACACCCCCUCCAUAUCCAUUGUCUGAAAGAGGCACUGCUGUUGAGUCAUAAGUAGGCUCCAGUGGCCCAUGUUGACCCUUUGAAAUUCCCAUGGGACUGUCAAUUCUAUCUAUUCUGGGAGCAGCCAACCAUAGCUAAUUACAGGCCUGUGGUAUUAGUGGAACAAGCUUCAGCUUUUUACAUUGGCUUGAUGGAGAACUGAGUAGAUAUAAAAGUGUUACAUGUUUUUCUGUAAUCAUAAUAACGUAAUCUUGUUUCAUAAUCAUUAAUAAUUCCUAACAUUUAUUGAAGAGUUAAUAUGUGUUGAGUAUUUUUGUAAGUGCUUAACAUGCAGUUUUUAAAAUUUUAACUCCUUUUUACAGAAAAGGUUUACAGAACGCCAGAGGGGUAGGUGAUUUUGCCAGAGCUCUUUUAGGUAAUAGGAAACAAAGCCAUAAAUUUGAUCCCAGCUAGUUUGACCCCAUAGUCCAAGCAUUAAUCCCUGAACCACACUAGCUCUGGCAAGGGUAUAAAUGAGCAGUGAUUACUAACUGACUUAAAACACAAUAGGAAUUAUCCCCAGUGAAUUCCAACAUAUAAAGGGACACUAAUUCUUGCCAUAGAAAAUCUAUUUGAUAAGUAUGAACAAGAAUUCCAAGGUUAUCAAAAAUAAUUUCUAAUAGUUUAAUUCUUUAAAAGAAAUGGUGUAUCUCAUGGACACAGGAAGGGGAACAUCACACUCCGGGGACUGUUGUUGGGUGGGGGGAGCGGGGAGGGAGAGCAUUAGGAGAUAUACCUAAUGCUAAAUGACAAGUUAAUGGGUGCAGCACACCAACGUGGCACAUGUAUACAUAUGUAACAAACCUGCACAUUGUGCAAAU
rnacentral:lncRNA from 10 species